rnacentral:rRNA from 1 species
UACAGAGGUCUCAAGCGUUGUUCGGAUUCAUUGGGCGUAAAGGGUGCGUAGGCGGCGUGGUAAGUCGGAUGUGAAAUCUCGGAGCUUAACUCCGAAACUGCAUUCGAUACUGCCGUGCUUGAGGACUGGAGAGGAGACUGGAAUUUACGGUGUAGCGGUGGAAUGCGCAGAUAUCAGGAGGAACACCGGUGGCGAAGGCGGGUCUCUGGGCAGUAACUGACGCUGAGGAGCGAAAGCGUGGGGAGCAAAACGG